rnacentral:rRNA from 1 species
UUGGAGGGCAAGUCUGGUGCCAGCAGCCGCGGUAAUUCCAGCUCCAAUAGCGUAUAUUAAAGUUGUUGCAGUUAAAAAGCUCGUAGUUGAAUUUCGGGAUCAAUAUGUCGGUCGUGCUUUUGGUACGUACUGGCAUCAUUGGUUCCUCCCUUCUGACAAACCAUGAUGUCAUUAAUUUGGUGUUAUGGGGAGUUAGGACUGUUACUUUGAAAAAAUUAGAGUGUUUAAAGCAGGCAUUAGCUUGAAUACAUUAGCAUGGAAUAAUGAAAUAGGACGUUUGACCCUAUUUUGUUGGUUUCUAGGAUCGACGUAAUGAUUAAUAGGGAUAGUUGGGGGCAUUAGUAUUCAAUUGUCAGAGGUGAAAUUCUUGGAUUUAUUGAAGACUAACUACUGCGAAAGCAUUUGCCAAGGAUGUUUUCAUUAAUCAAGAACGAAAGUUAGGGGAUCGAAGACGAUCAGAUACCGUCGUAGUCUUAACCAUAAACUAUGCCGACUAGGGACCGGAUGAUGUUAAUUUUUUAAUGACUCAUUCGGCGCCUUACGGGAAAC